rnacentral:rRNA from 1 species
CAAUGGCGUAUAUUAACGUUGUUGCAGUUAAAAAGCUCGUAGUUGGAUUUCUGGAGGGAGCGUCGGCCCGUAUUUACGAGUGCGUGACGUCUCUGUCCAUCCUUGCGGGAAGGCACGGCAUUGAUUUGUUGUGUCGGAUCGCAUCAUUUACUGUGAAAAAAUUAGAGUGUUCAAAGCAGGCUUUCGCUUGAAUACAUUAGCAUGGAAUAAUAAGAUAGGACUUUGGUGCUAUUUUGUUGGUUGAGCCUAAAGUAAUGAUUAAUAGGGAUAGUUGGGGGCACCUGUAUUGCGUUGUCAGAGGUGAAAUUCUUGGAUUUACGCAAGACAAACAGCUGCGAAAGCGUCUGCCAAGGAUGUUUUCAUUAA